rnacentral:rRNA from 1 species
UACGUAGGUGGCAAGCGUUAUCCGGAUUUACUGGGUGUAAAGGGCGUGUAGGCGGUUUUGCAAGUCAGAUGUGAAAUCUCCGGGCUUAACCCGGAAACUGCAUCUGAAACUGCAGAACUUGAGUACUGGAGAGGAUAGUGGAAUUCCUAGUGUAGCGGUAAAAUGCGUAGAUAUUAGGAGGAACACCAGUGGCGAAGGCGACUAUCUGGACAGUAACUGACGCUGAGGCGCGAAAGCGUGGGGAGCAAACAGGAUUAGAUACCCGCGUAGU